UUUUUUUUUUCCUUUUUUUUUUUUUUUUUUUUUUUCC
rnacentral:ribozyme from 14 species